GGCUCGUCGCGGCGUGCUUACACAUGCAAGUCGAACCGAUGAACCCGCUGUUCGGGCGGGGAUUAGUGGCGAACGGGUGAGUAACACGUGGGCAAUCUGCCCUGCACUCUGGGACAAGCCCUGGAAACGGGGUCUAAUACCGGAUAUGACUGUCCGCCGCAUGGUGGAUGGUGUAAAGCUCCGGCGGUGCAGGAUGAGCCCGCGGCCUAUCAGCUUGUUGGUGAGGUAGUGGCUCACCAAGGCGACGACGGGUAGCCGGCCUGAGAGGGCGACCGGCCAUACCCUGGGACUGAGUCCACGGCCCAGACUCCUACGGUGAGGCAGCUAGGUGUGGGCAAUAUUGCACGUUGUCCGUGCCGACAGCCUAACGCAUUCAGUGACGCCGCGUGAGGGAUGUACGGCCUUCAGGGUUGUAAACCUCUUUCAGCAGGGAAUUGAAGCGAGAGUGCCGGUACAAGCUGCAGAAGAAGCAUGCUGGCUUAACUUCGUGCCAGCAGCCGCGGUAGAUACCUUAGGGCGCAAGGCGUUGACAUACACCGGAAUUACGUCUGGGCGUAAAGAGCUCGUAGGCGCCCGCUUGUCAGGUCGGUUGUGACAGCCCGUGGUGCUUAACCCCUGGUCUGUCAGUCAGCUACGUGUCAGUGCUAGAUGUUGGGUUAAGUGCCGCAACGAUCGGAAUUCCUGGUGUAGCGGUGAAUUGCGCAGAUAUCAGGAGGAACACCUUGUGGUGCUGG
rnacentral:rRNA from 1 species